rnacentral:rRNA from 1 species
GACGAACGCUGGCGGCGUGCUUAACACAUGCAAGUCGAACGAUAAACCCGGACUUUGCUGUGGGGCGUGAGUGGCGAACGGGUGAGUAACACGUGAGUAACCCGCCCUGGACUGUGGGAUAAGCGGUGGAAACGACGUCUAACACCGGAUAGGAACUUGGAUCGCAUGGUCUGGGGGGGAAAGUUUUCUCUGGCUGGGCUGGUCGCGCGGUAUCAUCGCUUGUUGGGGGGGGUAUGGGUCACCAAGGUGUCGGCGGGUCGCCGGCCUGAGAGGGUGGACGGCCACACUGGGACUGGGGCACGGGCCAGGCUCCUUCGGGCGGCAGCAGUUGGGAAUAUUGCACAAUGGGCGAAAGGCUGAUGCAGGAGCGGCGCGUGCGGGGUGAAGGCCUUCGGGUUGUAAACCGCUUUUCGUAGGGAAGAAGGGCUUCGGCUUGACGGUACCUGCAGAAAAAGGACCGGCUAACUACGUG